GUCGUCAGCCUGUCAUGCUACCGUCCCUCUCCAAUCGCGGGUCUUCACCUCCACUGUCCAGGCAAGAUGAGUGACAUGAUCAACGCUGAGCGCAAGGCCUACUUGGCCAAGUUUCAGGCUUAGUUGAGCAAUCAGCCCACAGAGUCGAGCAGAACCCCAAACGCCCAUUCAGGAGACUCCGCUGCAACAACGUCUGGCACCGACUCCCUCAAGCGCAAAUCUAACUAGAUUGUUGAGUCCUCUGACCGACCAAAAAUUGGUAGCACCGUUCUGAAGAAGAGAUGUUGUCACUUGUGCAUAACUUGGCCUGGAAGCUAUGUGCGGUCAGGUGUUUGCUUCCUCCAUUCGUGUCAGCUUCUUAGGUCGACAAAUUUCUUUAGCUUUGCAAACACUGAAGCAAAGCCGCCUUGAGGACUCGGCUUAGAAAGAGGAUUUAAAGAGGAAACUAGCUGACCGUGUAGCUGCGAAGAUGAAUCUGGAAAAUGAGCUGAAGUUGUUGAAAUCUGAGAUGGCACAAUUGACCAGCCAAGUUCGUAAGCUAGAGGAGGACAAGGCUACCAUAGCUCAUAAUCCUCUUUCAAUUUGUGGAUGGAUUAAUUUAGGCGCCGCGUACGCACUUUAUUGCGACAUCGGAUGUCAUACUAGUGCACGAUCCCUUGGUAGCAUCACUACGGCUGGACAUGUCUUUCCUAACAUUAUCACCAUUGUUAGCACCCAAUUUUAUCUGUCUUCGUUUUAAUUUAAUAUAAGUGUAUUUUUAUUUUAA